rnacentral:rRNA from 1 species
AACGAACGCUGGCGGCAUGCCUAGCACAUGCAAGUCGAACGAGACCUUCGGGUCUAGUGGCGCACGGGUGCGUAACGCGUGGGAACCUGCCCUUAGGUUCGGAAUAACUCCCCGAAAGGGGUGCUAAUACCGGAUAAUGUCUUCGGACCAAAGAUUUAUCGCCUUUGGAUGGGCCCGCGUUGGAUUAGCUAGUUGGUAGGGUAAAAGCCUACCAAGGCGACGAUCCAUAGCUGGUCUGAGAGGAUGAUCGGCCACACUGGGACUGAGACACGGCCCAGACUCCUACGGGAGGCAGCAGUGGGGAAUAUUGGACAAUGGGCGAAAGCCUGAUCCAGCAAUGCCGCGUGAGUGAUGAAGGCCUUAGGGUUGUAAAGCUCUUUUACCCGGGAUGAUAAUGACAGUACCGGGAGAAUAAGCUCCGGCUAACUCCGUG